rnacentral:rRNA from 1 species
ACGAACGCUGGCGGCGUGCCUAAUACAUGCAAGUCGAGCGGGGUGAGACUUCCUUCGGGAAGAGGAACCUAGCGGCGAACGGGUGAGUAACACGUGGGCAACCUGCCCCCUAGACUGGGAUAACAUCGAGAAAUCGGUGCUAACACCGGAUAAACCACAAGAUUGCAUAAUCUAAUGGUAAAAGGCUUCGGUCACUAGGGGAUGGGCCCGCGGCGCAUUAGCUAGUUGGUGUGGUAAGGGCAUACCAAGGCGACGAUGCGUAGCCGACCUGAGAGGGUGACCGGCCACACUGGGACUGAGACACGGCCCAGACUCCUACGGGAGGCAGCAGUAGGGAAUUUUCCGCAAUGGGCGAAAGCCUGACGGAGCAACGCCGCGUGAGUGAGGACGGCCUUCGGGCUGUAAAGCUCUGUGAUUAGGGAAGAAAAAAAUGACGGUACCUAAAGAGGAAGCCCCGGCUAACUACGUGCCAGCAGCCGCGGUAAUACGUAGGGGGCGAGCGUUGUCCGGAAUUAUUGGGCGUAAAGAGCACGUAGGCGGUCAGGCAAGUCAGAUGUGAAAGGCUGAGGCUCAACCUCAGAGCUGCAUCUGAAACUGCAGGACUUGAGUACAGGAGAGGAGAGUGGAAUUCCCGGUGUAGCGGUGGAAUGCGUAGAGAUCGGGAGGAACACCAGUGGCGAAGGCGGCUCUCUGGCCUGAGACUGACGCUGAGGUGCGAAAGCGUGGGUAGCGAACAGGAUUAGAUACCCUGGUAGUCCACGCCGUAAACGAUGAGUGCUAGGUGUUGGGGAGUACAUCUCCGCAGUGCCGAAGGAAACCCAGUAAGCACUCCGCCUGGGGAGUACGGCCGCAAGGCUGAAACUCAAAGGAAUUGACGGGGGCCCGCACAAGCGGUGGAGCAUGUGGUUUAAUUCGAGGCAACGCGAAAAACCUUACCAAGGCUUGACAUCCCACUCGAUGGGCUAGAGAUAGUCCAGACCUUCGGGAGAGUGGAGACAGGUGGUGCAUGGUUGUCGUCAGCUCGUGUCGUGAGAUGUUGGGUUCAGUCCCGCAACGAGCGCAACCCUUAUCUUUAGUUGCCAGCAAGUAAUGUUGGGCACUCUAGAGAGACAGCCGGUGAAAGCCGGAGGAAGGUGGGGAUGACGUCAAAUCAUCAUGCCCCUUAUGUCUUGGGCUACACACGUGCUACAAUGGCCGGAACAGAGGGAAGCGAAGCUGUGAAGUGGAGCCAACCCCAGAAAACCGGUCACAGUUCGGAUCGCAGGCUGCAACUCGCCUGCGUGAAGCCGGAAUCGCUAGUAAUCGCGGAUCAGCAUGCCGCGGUGAAUACGUUCCCGGGCCUUGUACACACCGCCCGUCACACCACGAGAGUUUACAACACCCGAAGUCGGUGAGGUAACCGAAAGGAGCCAGCCGCCGAAGGUGGGGUAGAUGAUUGGGGUG